rnacentral:rRNA from 1 species
CCUACGGGUGGCAGCAGUGAGGAAUAUUGGUCAAUGGGCGCAAGCCUGAACCAGCCAAGUCGCGUGAAGGAUGACUGCCCUAAGGGUUGUAAACUUCUUUUAUCAAGGAAUAAAAUCAGGCACGUGUGCCUGUUUGUAUGUACUUUAAGAAUAAGGAUCGGCUAACUCCGUGCCAGCAGCCGCGGUAAUACGGAGGAUCCGAGCGUUAUCCGGAUUUAUUGGGUUUAAAGGGUGCGUAGGCGGGUUGUUAAGUCAGGUGUUAAAGUUUGGGGCUCAACCCUAACAGUGCAGUUGAUACUGGCGGUCUUGAGUACAGUUGAGGUAGGCGGAAUGCGUGGUGUAGCGGUGAAAUGCUUAGA